AGACUUUGAUCCUGGCUCAGAUUGAACGCUGGCGGAAUGCUUUACACAUGCAAGUCGAACGGCAGCACGGGUGCUUGCACCUGGUGGCGAGUGGCGAACGGGUGAGUAAUGCGUCGGAACGUACCGAGUAAUGGGGGAUAACGUGGCGAAAGUCACGCUAAUACCGCAUACGCCCUGAGGGGGAAAGCAGGGGAUCGCAAGACCUUGCGUUAUUCGAGCGGCCGACGUCUGAUUAGCUAGUUGGUGGGGUAAUGGCUCACCAAGGCGACGAUCAGUAGCGGGUCUGAGAGGAUGAUCCGCCACACUGGAACUGAGACACGGUCCAGACUCCUACGGGAGGCAGCAGUGGGGAAUUUUGGACAAUGGGGGCAACCCUGAUCCAGCCAUUCCGCGUGAGUGAAGAAGGCCUUCGGGUUGUAAAGCUCUUUCAGCUGGAACGAAACGGUAUUCACUAAUAUUGGAUGCUAAUGACGGUACCAGCAGAAGAAGCACCGGCUAACUACGUGCCAGCAGCCGCGGUAAUACGUAGGGUGCGAGCGUUAAUCGGAAUUACUGGGCGUAAAGCGUGCG
rnacentral:rRNA from 1 species